UACGGAGGAUCCAAGCGUUAUCCGGAAUCAUUGGGUUUAAAGGGUCCGUAGGCGGCCUUAUAAGUCAGUGGUGAAAUCUCCUAGCUCAACUAGGAAAUGGCCAUUGAUACUGUAGGGCUUGAAUUAUUGUGAAGUAACUAGAAUAUGUAGUGUAGCGGUGAAAUGCUUAGAUAUUACAUGGAAUACCAAUUGCGAAGGCAGGUUACUAACAAUACAUUGACGCUGAUGGACGAAAGCGUGGGGAGCGAACAGGAUUAGAUACCCGGGUAGU
rnacentral:rRNA from 1 species